GUUAGCCGGAUAAUCGCGUGAAAUAUUGAGGAAAGUCCGGGCAUCUACGGGAAAUGGUGCUGGAUAACGUCCAGUGGAGGCGACUCUAAGGAAAGUGCAACAGAAAUAAACCGCAUACCUUGGUAUGUAAGGAUGGAAAGGCGAGGUAAGAGCUCACCGCUUUCUCGGUGACGAGAAGGGCAAUGUAAACCCCACCUGAUGCAAGAUGUGAGAACGUUAAACUCCCGUUAGUUCUCCUAUAUCGCUUGAGGUUGUCGGUAACGGCAAUCCUAGAUAGAUGAUUAUCUAAAACAGAACUCGGCUUACAGACUAACUCA
rnacentral:RNase_P_RNA from 2 species